AAGUCGUAACAAGGUUUCCGUAGGUGAACCUGCGGAAGGAUCUUUUAUUGGAAUUGGAUGGGCAUUGGGCUAGCUGGCUUGGCUUGUCCAUCCUUUGGCUGCAUGUGCUCGCCCCAGCAAUCCUUUUCCAAACACCUGUGCACCUUCCUUGUGAGAAUGGGAGAGAAAGGGCUUGCCUCUUUUAUCUCGUCUCAUGAUUCAUAAACGCUGUUUGUAAUGUUGAAUGCAUUUAUGCCGUCAAGGCUUUAACCUAAUACAA
rnacentral:misc_RNA from 1 species